CCAAUAGCGUAUAUUAAAGUUGCUGCAGUUAAAAAGCUCGUAGUUGAAUUUCGGGACUAAUAUGUCGGUCGUGCCUCGGUACGUACUGGUAUUUUUGGUUUCUCCCUUCUGACGAACCUUGAUGUCAUUAAUUUGGUGUCUUGGGAAAUCAGGACUGUUACUUUGAAAAAAUUAGAGUGUUUAAAGCAUGCUCACGCUUGAAUACAUUAGCAUGGAAUAA
rnacentral:rRNA from 1 species